GACAACACCAAUGUAGACUAUGUAAACUGGGGCUAUGGUGAACCAAAUGGCGGGCUAGGGACCACGAGCGAAGAGCCGUGUGUUAGUGUGUCUACGCGGGGUAUAUCAGCGGGGAAAUGGCAAGACAGGCCGUGUGUCAUCAAGAUGGGCUACGUCUGUCAGACAUGGAAAGAUGCCAGUUAUCCGACUCCACAACCCUCUCAGUCCCCGUCACCCUGUCCCCUUGGUUACGAGUCUUUUGGUUACGCUUGUU